CACCAGACUCCUACGGGAGGCAGCAGUGGGGAAUAUUGCGCAAUGGACGAAAGUCUGACGCAGCGACGCCGCGUGAGGGAUGAAGGUUUUCGGAUCGUAAACCUCUGUCAGGAGGGAAGAAAGCGCAUGGCGCCAAUCAGCCAUGCGUUGACGGUACCUCCAAAGGAAGCGCCGGCUAACUCCGUGCCAGCAGCCGCGGUAAUACGGAGGAUGCGAGCGUUAUCCGGAUUUAUUGGGUUUAAAGGGUGCGUAGGGGGAGUGUGAGGUCGGGGAAAAAGGCCGGGGCCACACCCCCGGCGAGCCGUUGAAACUGGCUGUCUUGAGAUGUCGAGAGGUAUGCGGAAUGCGCAGUGUAGCGGUGAAAUGCUUAGAUAUUGCGCAGAACUCCGAUUGCGAAGGCAGCAUACCGGCGGCGAUCUGACGCUGAGGCACGAAAGCGUGGGUAUCGAACAGGAUUAGAUACCCUAGUA
rnacentral:rRNA from 1 species